rnacentral:rRNA from 1 species
AACGCUAGCUACAGGCUUAACACAUGCAAGUCGAGGGGCAUCAGGGUGUAGCAAUACACCGCUGGCGACCGGCGCACGGGUGAGUAACACGUAUCCAACCUGCCCUUUACUCGGGGAUAGCCUUUCGAAAGAAAGAUUAAUACCCGAUGGUAUAACAUGACCUCCUGGUUUUGUUAUUAAAGAAUUUCGGUAGAGGAUGGGGAUGCGUUCCAUUAGGCAGUUGGCGGGGUAACGGCCCACCAAACCUUCGAUGGAUAGGGGUUCUGAGAGGAAGGUCCCCCACAUUGGAACUGAGACACGGUCCAAACUCCUACGGGAGGCAGCAGUGAGGAAUAUUGGUCAAUGGGCGAGAGCCUGAACCAGCCAAGUAGCGUGAAGGAUGACCGCCCUAUGGGUUGUAAACUUCUUUUAUAUGGGAAUAAAGGGUGCCACGUGUGGCAUUUUGUAUGUACCAUAUGAAUAAGGAUCGGCUAACUCCGUGCCAGCAGCCGCGGUAAUACGGAGGAUCCGAGCGUUAUCCGGAUUUAUUGGGUUUAAAGGGAGCGUAGGUGGACAUGUAAGUCAGUUGUGAAAGUUUGCGGCUCAACCGUAAAAUUGCAGUUGAAACUGCGUGUCUUGAGUACAGUAGAGGUGGGCGGAAUUCGUGGUGUAGCGGUGAAAUGCUUAGAUAUCACGAAGAACUCCGAUUG